UCUUGACGCUAUGUCGGACGUGAUGCAGCGCGGCGGGGCGCCGCUUGCCGGGCAGCGCGAGCUCCCCGAGGCGGUAGUAUUAUGUAUUAGUAGUAUAUGUGUUAUGGUCGCUCACCAUCUUGACGCUAUGUCGCACGUGAUGCAGCGCGGCGGGGCGCCGCUUGCCGGGCAGCGCGAGCUCCCCGAGGCGGUAGUAUUAUGUAUUAGUAGUAUAUGUGUUAUGGUCGCUCACCAUCUUGACGCUAUGUCGCACGUGAUGCAGCGCGGCGGGGCGCCGCUUGCCGGGCAGCGCGAGCUCCCCGAGGCGGUAGUCGGGCCCCGCCGCCGACACCGCCGACCCGCCGCACGCGCGGAACUUGUUGCUGCUGUGGAUGCUCU